AUUGAACGCUGGCGGCAGGCCUAACACAUGCAAGUCGAGCGAGCGGCGGACGGGUGAGUAAUGUAUGGGGACUGCCCGAUAGAGGGGGAUAACUACUGGAAACGGUAGCUAAUACCGCAUACUAUCGGAUAACCCAUAUGGGAUUAGCUAGUAGGUUGGGUAAUGGCUCACCUAGGCGACGAUCGCUAGCUGGUCUGAGAGGAUGAUCAGCCAAACGGGGCCUGAGACAGUGCCCAGACUCCUACGGAGGCCGCAGUGGGGAUUAUUGCACAAUGUGGGCAAUCCGGAUGCAGCCAUGCCGCGUGUAUGGAGAAGGCCCUAGGGUUGUAAAGUCCUUUCAGUCGGGAUGCGUUACCGACAGAAGAAGCACCGGCUAACUCCGUGCCAGCAGCCGCGGUAAUUC
rnacentral:rRNA from 1 species